rnacentral:rRNA from 1 species
UGUGUAUUAAUUACAAAGUCUAACCUGCCCACUGAGUAUACUUAAAGGGCCGCGGUAAUUUGACCGUGCGAAGGUAGCAUAAUCAAUAGUCUUUUAAUUGAAGACUUGAAUGAAUGGUUGGACGAGAAACUAACUGUCUCUUUUAUGUAGUUUGAACUUAACUUUUAAGUGAAAAGGCUUAAAUAUUUUAGGGGGACGAUAAGACCCUAUAAAACUUAAUAUAAAUUUGAUUUUAUUUAUAAUUUUAGUGAAAAGAAGUUUUAAUAAGUUUAUAUUUUGUUGGGGUGACGUGGAUAUAAAGUGUAACUGUCCGUAAAAUUUAAUAAUUUUAAUUAGUGUCUGAUCUUUCUUUGGGGAUUAAAAGAGUAAGUUACUUUAGGGAUAACAGCGUGAUUUUCUUUGAGAGUUCUUAUCGACAAGAGUAGUUGCGACCUCGAUGUUGAAUUAAAAUUUUGGUUAGGUGAAGUCUUUUAACUGGUAGGUCUGUUCGACCUUUAAAAUUUUACAUGAUUUGAGUUCAAACCGGC